GCCUAAGGUGGGAUAGAUGAUUGGGGUGAAGUCGUAACAAGGUAGCCGUAUCGGAAGGUGCGGCUGGAUCACCUCCUUUCUAAGGAA
rnacentral:rRNA from 1 species